AAAAGCAAUAUGAUAGUGUUUGAUAAACUUUUAUGUAAAACAUCUGCAAUUCUGUGAAAUGACCAAAAAUGAUAUAAAAUGAGUAUAUUAUUAAAUGUAAAAUAAUAAACCAACCCUAUCUUUCUUUUAUCCAUCUUCAUUUAUUAAUAAUAUAUGUUUUCUAUUUAUUAAUAGUCUCUCUAGAAGUCUCCUAUCUUUCUUUUAUCCAUCUUCAUUUGUUAAUAAUAUAUGUAGAAGUCUCCCAACUCUCCCCCACUCCCCAAUUUUCUGUCUUUACUUUUUUUUUCUUUGCUUCUUCUUCAUCUUUUUUAUUUUCCUCCUUCUUCUUCAUCUAGCCGACAUAGCAACUACCAUAGGAGCAAGACCGCUUCGCUUUGCCACUCCAAUCCUCUGCGGACGAUGGAUAAUGAAGGCAGCGACUCAAGUCCAGCCUCGCUUUGCUUCUAGCUGUCUCCAAGUUGUAAACUUUGAAGAAGGAGAAAUUGAAGAUGGAUAACGAAGGUAGCGACUCAAUCCUCUUCUUCUAGCUGUUUCCAGUCUAGCCUCUCUUCCUCCGCAGGCAGUGACUCAAGAUUCUUGAAGUAGCAGAGGAAAAAUGAGAGUUUUAUGCUUCUUCUUUUUUUUUUUUUUUUUUUUUUUUUUGCGAUUAUCGGUUUUGGCUGUGGUAGUUUGGUGGGUUUUCAUGUUUCCAUUUCUUGUGCAGAUCGGCAAAGCCGUUUCUGGUGGGUUUCUAGGUUUUGUGGAGAUCGGCAAAAGAGCACCGUUUCUGGUUUGAGGGUGUUAUUGAACUUUAGAAAGUUUCAUUAAGGGAGCACUAUAGCUCCACAUGCUUUGAAAAAAAGUCAAUUUUCCAAAGCAACAUUUAGCUGCUUCAGCUUUUCUGAUGAUGUUAGCUUAUUCUCA